rnacentral:rRNA from 1 species
CGGCAACAGCUCAAAUUUGAAAUCUGGCCCCAGGCCCGAGUUGUAAUUUGUAGAGGAUGUUUCUGGCGACGUGCCUUCCGAGUUCCCUGGAACGGGACGCCAUAGAGGGUGAGAGCCCCGUACGGUUGGUUGCCUAGCCUCUGUGAAACUCCUUCGACGAGUCGAGUAGUUUGGGAAUGCUGCUCUAAAUGGGAGGUAUACGUCUUCUAAAGCUAAAUAUAGGCCAGAGACCGAUAGCGCACAAGUAGAGUGAUCGAAAGAUGAAAAGCACUUUGAAAAGAGGGUUAAAUAGUACGUGAAAUUGUUGAAAGGGAAGCACUCAUGACCAGACUUGGUCAGGUUGAUCAUCCACCGUUCUCGGUGGUGCACUCUGCCUGGCCAGGCCAGCAUCAGUUCGUCCCGGGGGAUAAAGGUUUCGGGAAUGUGGCUCCCUAGGGAGUGUUAUAGCCCGUUGCGUAAUACCCUGGGGUGGACUGAGGUUCGCGCUUCUGCAAGGAUGCUGGCGUAAUGGUCAUCAGUGACCCGUCUUGAAACACGGACCAAGGAGUCGUCUUCGUAUGCGAGUGUUCGGGUGUUAAACCCCUACGCGUAAUGAAAGUGAACGUAGGAGAGAGCUUCGGCGCAUCUCCGACCGAUCCUGAUGUUCUCGGAUGGAUUUGAGUAAGAGCAUACGGGGCCGGACCCGAAAGAAGGUGAACUAUGCCUGUAUAGGGUGAAGCCAGAGGAAACUCUGGUGGAGGCUCGCAGCGGUUCUGACGUGCAAAUCGAUCGUCAAAUAUGGGCAUGGGGGCGAA